UUAUACGAUGGUGUUAUGAUCGUAAUUAGAUCUGAAAAUGAGUCCUAUUUGUGUUCCCUGCAACUCCCGUUUAAUAGACGAGAUACGUAUCUGAAACUACCGCUUCUCCUUCCCGCUUCCAUUCACAGGAGCUCCGGCGGUGACCGGAACCCGGUCCCCACCCUUCCAGCUUCGAACGAGCCCCUCUGCGGCUGCGCUACCGUCACCUCCCGCCCGCAUGAGGGCCCAGUGACCACCAUGGGAUGCAUCUUCGGCAAGUUCACCUCUGGAGUCGGCCUCUUCCCCGUCGUUGCUCCCCACAUCACCGCCGCCUCCACGUCCAGGCCCCCCGCGGCCUCGGCCUCGGCCGCUGGACACCGGCACCCCCUCCGCGCCCCUCCUCCUCUGGAGCCUGAGCCCCCUCGCCGCCCUUUCUUCAUCCCGAACUCAGCUGCCGCCCCCCCCGCGUGGCCGACCUGGCUCUCUGACGCCGCAGGGGAUGUCCUCGCCGGCUUCACGCCCCGUCGCGCCAAUUCGUUCGCGAUGCUCGAGAAGAUUGGGUCGGGGACGUACAGCAAUGUGUACAAGGCGAGGGACCCGGUGGGGGGGCGGUUGGUGGCGAUGAAGAAGGUGCGGGUGGAGGACGUGAAGGCGGUGGACAGCGUGCUGUUCAUGGUGCGGGAGAUCGCCCUGUUCCGCCGUCUCGACCACCCCAACAUCAUCCGCCUCGAGGACCUGGCGGUGUCCCGUAUCCCCACCACCCCCUCUCUCUACCUGGUCUUCGACUACAUGGAGCACGACCUCGCCGGCCUCACUGCGCUCCCUGGCGUCCGGUUCACUGUGCCCCAGGUGAAAUGCUAUAUGAAGCAAUUACUCUCUGGUCUUGAGCAUUGUCAUAGCCAGGGUGUCUUACACCGUGAUAUAAAGUGUUCAAAUUUGCUACUUAACAAAGAAGGAAUCCUUAAGAUAGCUGAUUUCGGGCUGGCUACUUUUUUUGACCCGAACAACACAAAGCCCAUGACAAGUAAGGUUGUGACCCUGUGGUACCGUCCUCCGGAGCUCUUACUCGGUGCAACUCGGUACGGCGUUGGUGUCGACCUAUGGAGUGCUGAUUUUGGCAGAGCUUCUCACUGGGAAGCCAAUACUUCCUGGACAGACUGAGGUGGAGCAGUUGCAUCGAAUCUUUAAGUUAUGCGGAUCUCCAUCAGAAGAAUACUUUGAGAAACUAAAAUUACAGAAGACGACUUCGUUUGGAUCAUACAAGUGUUCUAUAUCAGAAACAUUUUCAGAUCUUCCACCUUCCUCGGUGUCUCUCAUUGAGAAACUUCUUGCGCUUGACCCACUUGAAAGGGGGUCAGCUACUUCUGCCCUGAACAGUGAGUUCUUCAACAUAGAGCCCUAUGCAUGCGAUCCAUCUGAGUUACCGCAGUACCCUCCAACCAAAGAAAUUGACAGAAAAUUGAGGGAAAACAGAGAUAGAAGGAAACAAAGAACUAAUGCAAAAGAAAACGGUGAAGCCACUAAUAGAAUCCGAUUGCGUAAUCGAAGUUACAGAGGACCAGCAGCUCCAUCAACCAGUAGCAAAGUGCAAGCAGAACUUGAUCGACGGAGAUUGAUGACUAGUGCUAGCGUUGCAAGAGCCGAGAGGUUCCCACCACCACAUCUUGAUGCAGCAAUUGGAUUCUCACUUGAUUCGUCCCAUGCUGAUAGAGAAUUUACCACAGUGGAUGACUUAUUCAUGUCAUCAAAUGUUGUGCCACGGAGAGUAGCAGAUGUAACAAGGGAAGAUGGAGGUAGAAGAGACCAUAACACGGUUCAUGCUGGUGUUAUCGGUGCAAUCAGGCCAUACCUGAUGGGGAAUCUGACAGAUCUCGGAAGGAACAGUAGAGCACACCAGAGCAGAAGGGAAUCAGCUGUUGCUGCUGCGGCGAACUGAUGUGGUUGUGUAGCUGAGAAGUCCAUCUCAUCUUGCCGGGCACAGGCUGCAGUUCUCGUUCAAAUGUCAACUUUAACAAAAUGAGGUAGCCCUUCAUGGUUUUCCACUCGAUGUCUAGCAACAUAUUAACUUCUCGAAAUUGUACUGACAGAGCUAAGGACAUGUACAGCCUUCUGUAUUUGUUUUUGUUAACUUUCUUCUUUUUUUUUCAGAAAAAUAGAAACUUUGUUGCUCCUAAAGAUAAAUGUUUUCUCAUUGUAUUCAUGGAUCGCAUUUGCAAUAAAAAGAGUGAUUCAGAAGCA